rnacentral:sRNA from 1 species
CAAUUCUUUGUUUUCUGAGGCCCUGAAGGGUCGCAAAAGCGGCGGCUCGGUUUUACCCAGAAGACCGCGCGUCGGGCGCUCGAAAAUUUGCAUAUGCUUUUCUCGCCGGGGCGGGGCUGGCGGGGGCGGGACCGCGGCGCGCUCUUGAACUCCACCGGCAGCUAACCCGGGUUUGGCUACGCUGUAUUGCCUUUUAUUUCGUUUCUCCUCACCGAGUAUUUUCCAUUAUAGCUGUACAUAGCUCUUUUUGUGGAAGAUCAUCCUUCCUCGUGCUAAUCUCUUUGGUCUUCCAGUCGGCAUGCGUCUGGACUCUCGGACUGCGUCUGGGCCAGAAAUGUCUAGGCGUCCCCGGAGCGGGUGGGCGGGAGCGCUGCCCCGCAGGCCGGCCGCUAACAGGCUCCCGGUGUUUCCCGCUGCAGGUGGUUCUGCUGGGCAUGGACAUCCUGUCCGCCCUGGUGACCCGGCUGCAGGAUCGGUUCAAGGCGCAGAUCGGCACAGUGCUGCCAAGUCUAAUAGACAGACUAGGAGAUGCUAAAGACUCUGUGAGGGAGCAGGACCAAACUCUGCUGCUAAAGAUCAUGGAUCAAGCUGCUAAUCCCCAGUACGUAUGGGACAGAAUGCUUGGAGGCUUCAAACACAAGAAUUUCCGUACUCGAGAAGGCAUCUGUCUCUGCCUUAUAGCAACACUCAAUGCCUCUGGAGCACAGACUUUAACACUAAGCAAGAUUGUGCCACAUAUAUGCAACUUACUUGGAGAUCCAAACAGCCAGGUUCGAGAUGCAGCAAUAAACAGCUUAGUGGAAAUUUACAGACAUGUAGGAGAACGUGUGAGGGCAGAUCUCAGUAAAAAAGGAUUGCCACAGUCCCG